GCAGUUGGUGGAUUCUGGAGGAGUGAGAGCCUGCUUUUCCUCUAGCUGGCAGGAUAAACCAGGAAGGUAGCUGUCUGGUUUUCUGGGGUGGACCAAGAUAGCCAUUGGUUCCCUCUUUCUUUGGCUGUCCUAAUCUGCCUGUUUCUACUGUUGCUGUUACAGAGAAGUAGAUUUCUGCUGUUGCUGGUAACAUCUUACUGAGAUUUCUAUUUGGAUCAAAGAAAGGACUCCCAGGGGGAAGCUGGCACUCUGCUAAGAAACAACACCAGGAGGUGGAGAAUGGCUAUUGGUCUCUCACAAGUCUGCAAGAUUUCAAUGACAGCCUGAACCUGAUCUGCUGGCCCCAUACCUGCUUCAUGCCUGCCUAGCAAUGUCCAACUUAAAAAAAUAACAUCUUGGUCAAACUAUUUAUUUGAAAUAGUCAAGGAAAGGAAAGCCUGGUGAUCGAUCAGCCAAGGAGAUACUAUGUUUUCUCAGGGAGCAAAAACAAACAAACAACUGCCAAAUUUCAGCCAACAGAGGAAGCUGCCUGGCUGAUGAGUGAAAAAGAUAGAGGAGUGUACUUGGCUGAUGCUGAUAUUGACAUACCCCUUUGUCGCCUGGAUCAUUUUGGACACAACAUCGGGGCAUGUGGGAAAUUUCACCAAACCCUGCAGUCAGUGA